AGUAGUAGAUAUAGAUGUAAUUUGGGCACCGAAUUACUCCCACCAUUUUUUAGCUGUGGUUCUGCUUUCCCACCAAAAUUUCCCUCCCAAUAAUCAAUCUGCCGCCUAACCAUUUCCGCUCAUAUCGUCAACAAUCCAAUCGAUCUACACGCGAAAAACUCCAACGCCCUCCUCAUCCCCUCGAACCGAGAACCAAGAUCGGCACGUUGCUGAACGGGCGCAAUCGAGGCGAAGCGGCCUCCUGCCGGCCGAUCAGAAAUUGGAUCUCGGUCGUCGAGAGGACUCACCGCCGGGCAGCCGAUCGGAAAUCAGUUGGUCCGUCCGGCCGGGAUUGCUAGCUCGCCCAAUCCACAGCAUGCACAAAGCAGCAUAACUGCAGAGGGCAACACAAACCUAUGCCUCGAGAGGCACCUUCACGAGCGUCUCUUGCUGCGUCUCCACCGCCGCCGCUGCCGCCGGCCGCACUCCUCCACGCCCAGGUGCUUCGACCCAAAAGGGAGGGUGUCGCUGUGGGAGGCGCAGUGUAGGAGGCAGCAGCUCGUGGUGCAGCUGCUGGUGGACGCCGGCGGAGACGUGGCACCGUACGUGCGCGUCGCCGUCGAGCGGAAUGAUGCGGCGUCGCUGACGGAGAUCAAUGGGCUAGAAGAGGGAACGAGAUCACAUGCUACUGCUACUGCAGAGAGCAACAGUAAUAUGAAUUUGGUAUAUCCCAUGACCGUUGUAUCGAAACGGAUAGAUGAGAUCUAACGUUUUCAAAAUUACUAUUGCUACAGUAUUCCAUCGCUAUUCCUGGCAUUAAAUCACUGUGCUACACACAUAAACAGUGUUCCUCUGCAUUACUGUAGAGGAACUGGACCCACAUUGAGAGAACCACGGUGGAUGCUAGUGAUGUUGCGGACACUAGUGGCAAUGGAUUGAAUGACCAAUCAUAGUUCAUGAGGUGUAGUACCAGACUCUUUAUUGUGCAAGCUCAUUUGUUCAAUAGUUUGUGUUUCUCCUUUUUCUUUAAUGUGUAAUUCUACAAGUUUUUCUCGUAUUUGUUGAAUUUAUUGAAUUAUUGUGUGCAUCUUCUUCUCCCCUUUUAAAUGGUUCUGUUUUUACAUGUCUCAAUUAAGUAAAGACGGAUCCAUAGAAAUUAUAGACUUGUGUGAUGUCUCAUUGUAUUAGUAACUCAAUUGUCAUGCUCAUGCCAAUGUUUACAUGAGAAUAACAAGAUAAUGCAAACCAAUGAAUAAAUGGAGCUGUACGUUUGGUGCUUUUGUUUAGAAACUACAAGGUAUGAAAAACUAUAACUAAAUCAUGAAUGCCUAUAGCCCUAUACCCGUACUGUUGCUGGUGGUGGUAUGAUGUGGCCAAUAUGCCGCUAAUGCCUGUCUAUCUAUGAACUAUUGCGUAAUACAUUAUUUUCUUUGGUCUAUACUCCUGUAAUAGUAUCUAUAUAUUCCAUUGAUAAGUGGCAUCCAGUUAUGAUCAUGUAAUUCCUAUAAGAAACUUUAGUUUCUGAACUAAUUUGUGGCUAGCCUUGCUGUGACUGAGAUUGUACCUAUGAACUUAAAAUAAGACGUC